GUUUCAGGCCGAGACCCUUCUUCAGACUGAGAGAGGGGAGAGGGAGACAUAGAGUUAUGGAAGGGUAAGGUGUGAAAACACAGAUCAAAGAGGACAAUGGUCAAGGAUAUGUGGAAUGGUACAUUUUCCUGCUCUCUCAGAUGCUGCCUGUCCCGCUGAGUU